rnacentral:rRNA from 1 species
UACGGAGGGUGCAAGCGUUAUCCGGAUUCACUGGGUUUAAAGGGUGCGUGGGCGGGCAGGUAAGUCCGUGGUGAAAUCUCUGAGCUUAACUCAGAAACUGCCAUGGAUACUAUUUGUCUUGAAUAUUGUGGAGGUAAGCGGAAUAUGUCAUGUAGCGGUGAAAUGCUUAGAUAUGACAUAGAACACCAAUUGCGAAGGCAGCUUACUACACAGUUAUUGACGCUGAGGCACGAAAAGCGUGGGGAUCAAACAGG